rnacentral:rRNA from 1 species
AACGAACGCUGGCGGCAUGCCUAACACAUGCAAGUCGAACGAGGGCUUCGGCCCUAGUGGCGCACGGGUGAGUAACGCGUGGGAACCUGCCCUGUGGUACGGAAUAACUCCGGGAAACUGGAGCUAAUACCGUAUGUGUCCUGCGGGACAAAGAUUUAUCGCCAUGGGAUGGGCCCGCGUAGGAUUAGCUUGUUGGUGGGGUAACGGCCUACCAAGGCGACGAUCCUUAGCUGGUCUGAGAGGAUGAUCAGCCACACUGGGACUGAGACACGGCCCAGACUCCUACGGGAGGCAGCAGUGGGGAAUAUUGGACAAUGGGCGCAAGCCUGAUCCAGCAAUGCCGCGUGAGUGAUGAAGGCCUUCGGGUUGUAAAGCUCUUUCGCACGCGACGAUGAUGACGGUAGCGUGAGAAGAAGCCCCGGCUAACUUCGUGCCAGCCGCCGCAGUAAGAC